AUUGAACGCUGGCGGCAGGCCUAACACAUGCAAGUCGAACGAGUGGCGGACGGGUGAGUAAUGUCUGGGAACCUGCCUGAUGGAGGGGGCUAACUACUGGAAACGGUAGCUAAUACCGCAUACCAUCAGAUGUGCCCAGAUGGGAUUAGCUAGUUGGUGGGGUAACGGCUCACCAAGGCGACGAUCCCUAGCUGGUCUGAGAGGCUGACCAGCCACACUGGAACUGAGAAACGGGCCAGACUCCUACGGGAGGCAGCAGUGGGGAAUAUUGCACAAUGGGCGCAAGCCUGAUGCAGCCAUGCCGCGGGUAUGAAGAAGGCCUUCGGGUUGGAAAGUACUUUCAGCGGGGAGGCGGGACCCGCAGAAGAAGCACCGGCUAACUCCGUGCCAGCAGCCGCGGUAAUAC
rnacentral:rRNA from 1 species